UACGUAGGGUGCAAGCGUUGUCCGGAAUUAUUGGGCGUAAAGAGCUCGUAGGCGGUUUGUUGCGUCGGCUGUGAAAUCCCGAGGCUCAACCUCGGGUCUGCAGUCGAUACGAGCAAACUAGAGUGUUGCAGGGGAGACUGGAAUUCCUGGUGUAGCGGUGAAAUGCGCAGAUAUCAGGAGGAACACCGGUGGCGAAGGCGGGUCUCUGGGCCUUACCUGACGCUGAGGAGCGAAAGCGUGGGGAGCAAACAGG
rnacentral:rRNA from 1 species